GACAGGUGGUGCAUGGUUGUCGUCAGCUCGUGUCGUGAGAUGUUGGGUUAAGUCCCGCAACGAGCGCAACCCCUAUUGUUAGUUGCCAUCAUUCAGUUGGGCACUCUAGCGAGACUGCCGGUAAUAAACCGGAGGAAGGUGGGGAUGACGUCAAAUCAUCAUGCCCCUUAUGACCUGGGCUACACACGUGCUACAAUGGUUGGUACAACGAGUUGCGAGUCGGUGACGGCGAGCUAAUCUACUUAAAGCCAAUCUCAGUUCGGAUUGUAGGCUGCAACUCGCCUACAUGAAGUCGGAAUCGCUAGUAAUCGCGGAUCAGCACGCCGCGGUGAAUACGUUCCCGGGCCUU
rnacentral:rRNA from 1 species